GGAGGCUGACGUCGGACGGGCUCCUCGCCAAGCCGGUCAGGUCCGGAAGGAAGCAGCCGUAACGAGUUCUGGUCCGGGUCGCACGCUCAGUCUCCCAC
rnacentral:SRP_RNA from 1 species